GAGUACAAAAUAAAUCUUUUGUUUUCAGGCAUGAAAGAUGGCCAGAAGAUAACAUUCCAUGGUGAAGGAGACCAAGAACCAGGACUGGAGCCAGGAGAUAUUAUCAUUGUAUUAGAUCAGAAGGACCAUGCUGUUUUUACUCGACGAGGAGAAGACCUUUUCAUGUGUAUGGACAUACAACUAGUUGAAGCAUUGUGUGGCUUCCAAAAGCCAAUCUCUACCCUUGACAACCGAACCAUAGUCAUCACCUCUCAUCCAGGUCAGAUUGUCAAGCAUGGAGAUAUCAAGUGUGUGCUAAAUGAGGGCAUGCCAAUUUAUCGUAGACCAUAUGAAAAGGGUCGCCUAAUCAUCGAAUUUAAGGUGAACUUUCCUGAGAAUGGCUUUCUCUCUCCUGAUAAACUCUCUUUGCUGGAAAAACUCCUACCCGAGAGAAAGGAAGUGGAAAAGACUGAUGGAAUGCAUCAAGUAGAACUUGUGGACUUUGAUCCAGUCAGGCGCAAUUAUAAUGGAGAAGCAUAUGAGGAAGAUGAACAUCAUCCCAGAGGGGGUGUUCAGUGUCAAACCUCUUAAUGGGCCAGUGAAUUACACUCACUGCUGGCAGUCUAUGUGCAGUAGUGAAUGAGUGAAGGACUGUAAUCAUAAUAUGCUCACUACUUGCUAUUGUUUUUGUUUUAAUAUUCUACUAUAGUAGUGUUUUAAAAGUUAAAUGAAGAAUAAACGCAAAUAUAAAAGCUCUGACUUUGCCCUGUAUGUAUGAUGACUUCAGUGUGCAAGAUAAAGUUUAAUACCUGUAAAAACUACUUCAAAAGAAAUUCCCUAGCAUUUUUUAGGCCAACCCUUGUAAUUGAUUUCAACUGUGUACACGGACAAGCUUAGACUGAAAUGCUAGGUAUAUGUAUUGGCUUCAGUGUGUGACCCUUCGUUGUUAAGCUAUAAAAUUAAAACUGUAUUUAACUGGCAAUCCAAAAAAACGUAAUUUGUAGAGAAGUAUUGGUCUGUGUAGUUACUUGUAUUAAGUAGGAUUCAUUGUGAUGCCUCUGCAUUAUUCCAUUGCCUCAACUGUUAACUUGAAAUUGGCAUAAUAUAUAAUUUAGCCUGUGGUAUCAGUGAUAGAAAUGAUGCCUUUCUAAAGAAGGGGCUUAUCAUAAUAUGCUGCUUCUUGAGGGCUUGCACUUCUAGAAUUAUGUUCCCUUCUGCUGCACCAUCCAAUCCUGGUUAUUUUUUCCCUUCUCUUUGGACCAUAAUAAGCCUCUGAGUAGUGACUUCCAGAGCUUGGGUAUCUUAGAAAUUUAAAGUGAAGAGACCUUCACAUGAAGUAAUUUGCAUGCAUAAUAUAGGAAGGUGUUCCUUAGGUAUGUUACAGGCUUACUUUUAACCAUUUGACUUAUGCUCCAGCGUAACUGUAAUUUAAUGUUGGUAGGAUAGCAAACUAUGAAUAGCUUUAAUUGUAUGUUUAAAAGUCUCAUCAUAUGUUUAUGCUUAAAUCUGGAUAUCAGAAUUUAAGCAAUUCUUGAAAUGUAUGACUGUCUCCUUAAUAUACUGAUUACAAAGCAUU